GGAACAUUGAAUGAGCAAGCUCCGCCCAGCAGUCACGUUCGGGAGAUUCAAACUGAGACUGCUCCACCUUUAGCCAGUGCAGACUCCCGUCUCUGCGCUGCGUCUCAUUAAGAUGUGGCUUGUGAGACAAGAGUCAGCUGAAAGGAACCGCGAGACGACGGGCAUAAAUCACAUUUGCCUUCUGUGAUUUAAAGUGGCGAGCGAGCAGAACACCACAGGUGAGGACCAGUGGAGGGGAGGUCCAACACCAGGAUGGCGUCGUCCUUCAUCCCACGCAAGAAGACGAAAGCGAGACCAGGGAAAUGAAUGCUGCCUACAUGGUGGAUCAACGUGGAGUCUGCAGCACAAUCCCGUUUGAAAAAUAGUUCAUCCAAAUAUACACUGGAUCCUCGAAAUUUGCUGACUUUUUUUUUUGUUUUUCUGCUAAAGUAAUACAUUUUUCCCACAUCUCAAUCACCAUCCUGUAAUUUGGUAAUAAUUUAUGAAGAUGUGAUAAUACAGCUAAUGUACUGCAUA